UGGGGAAUAUUGCACAAUGGGCGCAAGCCUGAUGCAGCCAUGCCGCGUGUAUGAAGAAGGCCUUCGGGUUGUAAAGUACUUUCAGCGAGGAGGAAGGCGUUGUGGUUAAUAACCGCAGCGAUUGACGUUACUCGCAGAAGAAGCACCGGCUAACUCCGUGCCAGCAGCCGCGGUAAUACGGAGGGUGCAAGCGUUAAUCGGAAUUACUGGGCAUAAAGCGCACGCAGGCGGUCUGUCAAGUCGGAUGUGAAAUCCCCGGGCUCAACCUGGGAACUGCAUCCGAAACUGGCAGGCUAGAGUCUUGUAGAGGGGGGUAGAAUUCCAGGUGUAGCGGUGAAACGCGUAGAGAUCUGGAGGAAUACCGGUGGCGAAGGCGGCCCCCUGGACAAAGACUGACGCUCAGGUGCGAAAGCGUGGGGAGCAAACA
rnacentral:rRNA from 1 species